UCAACCUACACAGCACAACAACCUCCUCCAAGGCACACGGCAGCACAGAAUGAAAGAAAGUUCAACGAGGAGAAGCGGUUUGGGCUAGAGUACUAUCUUUUUAGGGUGAAUUCAGCACACCUGAUGGUGCAGAGAGGUGCUGAGCAGUCACAUGGCUUGCAGCUCUCUGCCUCCCCAGCACCUCACAGCCAAGCUCUGCUACCUUUCAGCUGUUUCUGGGCAUCCGUUAAGUACAGAACAUGUUUACAGAGUACAGCAAAACAAGUUCAAGACAAAACAUUGGCAAGAUCUGAAAAAUACAAGAACAGGAACUGUGAGCAUGUGCAGCAUGGUAACUGAUUCUACUCAGCUGCUGUAAGCCUGAAUUUCAGAUGGUUUCAUUCUGCUCGGAAAUACACAAGUCUUUACUAUUCACAGAGACGAAUCCCUUAGCCUACAGCGUUACCUUGCUUUCAUCCCUCUGAAUUCAGAAGCAUGAUUUCCUUCCUCUCACCUGUAUUUCCCAGGAAGAAACACUGGCAGCCUGCCCAGACCCCUGAGCAGAUUUGGAAGUACCAAGCCUACAACUCCCUCAAAAUACUUGGACGGGGCUGCUGAAGAGCUGAUUAAUCACUGACAUCGAGGGGAAUCAGGUUAUAUGCUAGAGCCCACAUUCCCUGCAGUCUUCCAGACCCAGCACUACCAGUGGCACUCCAAGUGGCAGGAGAGCCCAGGCACCCUUCUGAUUCAAACCACACGGAGAGAGGGGCAGAGAGAAAACAAACUACAAAGUCGAGCUGGCAUUCCCAUGACCCAUCAUCUUAUUUCAGAUGUCUCUUCUUUUGGGCAGGGGGCAGCAACACCUCACCUCUCAGCACUGGGGACAAGAUGAGCAGCGAGACUAGUCUCCUCUUCAAAGCCUACCACAUGAUACCAACACUUUGAUAACCUCCUAGGGAAUAAAUCUGCUCCUGCAGCUGGCUAGUCGGCCCUCUAGAAUAAAGUCAGAGAAGCACGAAAGGGCCCCUACCGAGGUCUGCGGGACUGAAUGUGAAUAUCUAAGAAGAGAAUUCAAUUCUUACACAAUUUAUUCUCUCUCCUGUAAUUUAUUCCAAUACUUAUUCUCUACACACUUAGCAAUGUAAGUAUGUCACCACUACACAGCCCUGUGCACCCGUAAUACUGAUCCUGUUACACUUCCACACAGGGAGCCUGGACGAGAUGAAGCCCAUCUGCCUCACUCCUCACAUUUUCACGUCAGAAACCUUGUGGACAAACACACCUUGUGUCUAAUGGUGCUGACCACAUGGUUCCCACUCAGCCAUCCACAAAUGUUAACAGCAAAACAGUUCUUCAAUGUGGGAAGAGAAGCAUCAGUGCUGGGGAAGGAAGCUUUGGGAAGUUACUAAUGAAAGCAGACAGCCUUACAGCAGAUGAAGAUCUACUGUAUACUGAUAUCAUCCAUCUUAACAGACACCCUCACUUCACCCAUGUAUAAUUCAUUUGGAACUUUCUUCCCUCUUCAGUAACAUUAAUGAUUCAGUAACAAGCCUUGAGAAUAAGAGCAAACAGGUGUGGAGGACACUGUGUUCAGGAUUUCAGUACUUAUCCAACUGAAAUUUGCAUCUUAACUCUCUGUGUACCCAACACGACUGGGGCAGUCGUGUACACACGACUGCCCCAGGGCUCCAAGCUGCCACUCCUGGCUACCUCUACACUGUAAGAUCACCAAGUACUUCCAAGUCAGCUCCCAAAUCUCUAAGCAAUCUAUAGUCCCAGCCUUGCAUAAGACAUGGGCACGCACAGUUCCUCAGCUCCCUCGUAGCCACGGGAGAGAAAGGAGGGUACACAGGCCAGAAGGAAGCUGUGCCAUGCUCCAGCUAUUUCUGGUCUGGGUACCUGGGGAAUCAGGUCUGCACCAGCCCCUAAAGCCAAGCAGUGUCAGCACAGUAUGUAAUCCCUUGUUUAGGGAGACAGAAAUCAUCUUUAUUUAAAAAUUAAAAAGGCAGAAAAAGCCAUGUGUUCAAACUCCGUUUAUAAACAGAAGUGUGAGACAGAGCACUGCCUUGGGGAAUCUUUCAUUGAAAACUGAUCACAGUUUAGGAAAUAGCAGAAGAGAAGACACAUAGACAUCUGUCCCAUUGCUUUUGAACAAAUACGAUUAAUUAAAUCAGCAUGUGGAGCCUUUUGGGUUGAACGAGUAAUAUUCUGUUGGGGCAUUACAGCAGUAGCAUAGGUACUACCGUAAUCCUGGAUGCUUAGGUACACUGUAGAUUCUCUAUACAUAAUGCUAACAGGAACCUACAGCUGCUAACAACUUAUCCAGGAAAGUGACUGACAAGUCUCGUGCUGCCUCAUUAGGCUGUGUAU